rnacentral:rRNA from 1 species
GAUAAACGCUGGCGGCGUGCAUAACACAUGCAAGUCGAACGAAGUGGCGAACGGGUGAGUAACACGUGAGUAACCUGCCUUACACAAGGGGAUAGCCUCUGGAAACGGAGAAUAAUACCCUAUAGUGUAAGAUGGAGUUGCGUCGGAUUAGCUAGUUGGUGAGAUAAAAGCUCACCCAGGCGACGAUCAGUAGCCGACUUUGGAAAGUGUACAGCCACAUGGGGACUGAGGGACGGACCAGACGCAACGGGGGGCAGCGGUGGGAAAUAUGACGCAAUGGGGCAAACCCUGAUGCAGCACCGCCGCGUUCGGAAGACGGCCUUCGGGUUGUAAACCGCUUUCAGCCAUGACGCGGUAGUGGCAGAAGAAGCACCGGCUAACUACGUGCCAGCAGCCGCGGUAAUAC